rnacentral:rRNA from 1 species
AUACGUAGGUGGCAAGCGUUGUCCGGAAUUAUUGGGCGUAAAGCGCAUGUAGGCGGUUUGGUAAGUCGGUCGUGAAAAUGCGGUGCUUAACGCCGUAUGGCGAUUGAAACUGCUGAACUUGAGUGGAGGAGAGGAAAGGGGAACUCCCAGGGUAGCGGUGAAAUGCGUAGAUAUUGGGAAGAACACCGGUGGCGAAGGCGCCUUUCUGGACUGUGUCUGACGCUCAGAUGCGAAAGCCAGGGUAGCGAACGGGAUUAGAUACCCCGGUAGUCCUGGCCGUAAACGAUGGGUACUAGGUGUGGGAGGUAUCGACUCCUUCCGUGCCGGAGUUAACGCAAUAAGUACCCCGCCUGGGGAGUACGGCCGCAAGGCUUAAACUCAAAUGAAUUGACGGGG